rnacentral:misc_RNA from 1 species
GAUGAAGAACGCAGCGAAAUGCGAUAAGUAAUGUGAAUUGCAGAAUUCAGUGAAUCAUCGAAUCUUUGAACGCACAUUGCACCCGCCAGUAUUCUGGCGGGCAUGCCUGUCUGAGCGUCAUUUCAACCCUCAUGCCCCUAGGGCGUGGUGUUGGGGAUCGGCCAAAGCCCGCGAGGGACGGCCGGCCCCUAAAUCUAGUGGCGGACCCGUCGUGGCCUCCUCUGCGAAGUAGUGAUAUUCCGCAUCGGAGAGCGAUGAGCCCCUGCCGUUAAACCCCCAACUUUCCAAGGUUGACCUCAGAUCAGGUAGGAAUACCCGCUGAACUUAAGCAUAUCAAUAAGCGGAGGA